rnacentral:snoRNA from 1 species
GUGGUUCCUGCAGGUAGCAGGUAAACCUUCAGGAGAAGGACCUUGUCUCUGCACUGCCUUCUGUAGUCAGUGGGUUAGCACUGCUCUGUGUCCUACUUC